AAGGCAUGAAAAAGGCAAAGGAAUGAAAUUCUGAUACAUGCUGCAACAUGAAUGAACCUUGAAAACAUGCUAAGUGGAAAAUCCAAACACAAAUGGACAAUCAGAUUCAUCAGGAUCCAGUACCCUGUGCUGGUUUCCCUUCGGAACGCUCUUUGCUUCUUGCUCUCAGACUCAGAGACAGUGAUGUGAGAGGCCCUCCGGACCCUGGUAAUAAUUCACUUUCCAGGUUGUCUCAUUAAAGAGGAAUCUGAAGAGUGAAUGUUUAUAAUUCGAUAAAAGAUCAGUGUUACUAUGAACAGCCUCAAGUUCACGUGGCGUUCUGCCCACAUAUCACUUCACAACCAAAGGAAGACCAUUAAUUUUCUUGCUGACAUGUAGUUAAUGCUCAAAUGCAACGUGAGUUCAAGAUCUAAAUAUAUCACAGAGGAUUACAGUCUGACACUCGGACACCAGUGCAAGCCCUAACUCGGAGGAGAGUUUUUUCCUGGGAGUGGCACGGGGACCCAACCCUAUGGCCAGAGGCAGCGGCAGCAGCGGAAAGUGAGGAGUUGACUUGAGCUGACUUUCAGCAGUGAGCUCUCCGCCAGACAAGACAAAGGCCAAGACUGGUAAAGGUGACCUGGCACCAUCCAGAAGAAGCUUCUACCACAGAGAUGUUGUGAACCAGAAGCAGCAUUCACCAUGGCAACAUUGUGAAACAAAAAGCAUAAGAACCUUCUGUGUUCUUCAAAUGCUUUGCAAGAAUGAGCUGCUCAGCAGAGAGUAGAAAUGUGUGUCUGAGAGUUGCUGCUACUUGCGAAGCAAGGCUGGCCACUCACUCUUCCCCUGGGAGGAUCAGCUUUUCUGACUGAAGGUGUGGCUUCUGGCAGCAGAGACAUCGGUCAGAACUGCAGGAGAGAACACAAUAGAAUAAAGCAGUGAUAAUUAGAACUGUGAUACUGGCACCAGAAAAGACAAAAGCAAAUAGAGCAGAAGAGAAAUAAGAGUCCACCAACAACCUAAGUAUCAGAAUCUAGUAUAUCAUACAUGGCCUUUCAAAUUAGUGGGGGGUGGUAGGGAAUGUUGGGACAUUAGCUAACCCCUUGGAAGAAAAUUUAAUUUUAGACCCCUAUCUCAAGCCAUAUACAAGAAUAUAUUCCUAAUCAAUCAAAUAUUUAAUGGUUUAGAAAUUAAAUUUCAAAAAUAAAAUCAUACAACUACCAGAAAAUAAAGGUAAGUAUAUACAUAUGACGUAUACGCUCAACAUACACACACAGUGAACUUUAGUGAGUAUAACACCAACAGGCAAAAACAAUGAAAGAAAAGAUAGCAAAAUGAAUACAAAAAAAAGACAAU